AAUCCAAAAAAUCCUUACUAAUAACUUAUGUUUUUCUUUCAGCAACUAAUUAAAUAUUUCUUCUAUGUUUUCAGGGCGUUUUGUUUGAAUUGAUAGCUAAUAUUUUAAUUUAUGUUACAGGGUCCUGGAUGCUAUCCAAUCGUUGAUGUGUUUUAGAGUUGUUUUAUGUUUUAUUCUUGCAUUUUACUAAUCACAAAAUCGUUCUGCUUGUUUGUUUGUACAGGUUAAUGGAAGUCCUUAUGAAUUUUAUGGAAAGUAAUAACCCAAUAAUAUUUCUUUGAUCUGUGCAUAUAUUUUAUAUAUUUUAUAUAAUCGAUACUAAUAUUCAUUUCUAUCUUUUUUCAAUGUUGAGACAAUAAUUUAAAGAAGAUGAAGAUGAAGAAUAUCCCUGAAGACGAGUAUUAUGUACUAAUUCUCAUCAUUAUGAUCACAGUUUGAUGAGAUGGUAUGCUUAUUUGAUUGUAUUGCUUGAUAGCCAAAUAUUUUUUGUUUUAUUUGAUUAUUUAAUUGAUUUUUGUAGAUUUUUUAAUGGCUUUGGAAUUUAUAUAAGUCCUGGAAAUUAACUUAACAAGAACUAUAUUUGAAGAAUUUAAUUAUUGGAUAAUCCUCAUCAUAAUUUAAUUGUCAAUUGAUUUGUGUUCACAGGAAAAUGACAACGUUGGUUAACUUACUUCUGCAAACUUGGUAUAAAAUUGGCAGUAAAAAUGAUGAAGAUAUUUUGAUUUAAUUUUUAUUUAUUUGUAUUUUAAAUUAUGGGGGGUAAUUUGCGCAAUUUUAUAUGUGUGUACUAAUUAUUAUUUAUCACUAGCGGUUGCGUCUUAGUGAAAACUGUUGAAUCAGUUUAUAGAAUAUCGGUUAAAGCUGAAUGCUUUGUUGCAACAAAUGUCAGUCAAUGAUUAAUGGAUCAUCAUGGGGCAUCAUGGAAGAAGAUCACAUGUCUACUACUGCCAUAAACUGGAAACAAGAACUGCAGAACAUAUAAAAACUAUUAAAAUGAAACAUCAACCAUUAAAAGAUAAAUAUUUGGCUUAACUUCUGCUUCGAUUUCAUCUGAACUCUCAAUUUUUUUCAAUCAAUCGGACAGCUCCAAGUCAACACUUACAUACAUACACACAUACACACUUACACUUCUUUCCUUGUUCAUGAUUAUUGACGGGGUUCUUAUUGAUGGGCUUCGGCACUUCCUACCUGUACAUUCUUAACACAAAAACACACCUACACACACAUUACACACAUUACACAUCAAGAAAAAGAAUUAAAUGAAGAACAGAAGAAACUAAUAAUUGUGACCAACAGAACAAAAUUAACAACAUGAAAACAAUAAUAUUUAAAGAUGAGACUGAAAUUUGCAAGGCAGCCAACUUUAAAUUGAAGCAUUUACAAUAAGACAUGAAGAAACCAAUAUUGAUGAUUUUUUCCCAGGAUGUACGAAGAUAAGAGCGUUUUUGUGAAUUCACAAGACAAAGAUAAAGCCGGAAAUAUCAAAAAACGAGAAAAUAAAAAAUUAAAAUUGCGAGAAUAAAGUUUGCCAACGAAAUGACAUUCAAACUUCAAGAAAAAUAUUACAAGAAAAAUUGGAAUUGGAAUCAAAUGCUGAUCUUUAUGUGCAGGGCAGUGUAGUGAGAAGCGUAUUAUUAAUAGUACGCGAGUGUUCCAAUAUAGUGCGGGAGUGAAAUGAAAUAUACUUAAUAAUUCCUUUACAGAUCAAUAGCAUUUUUUAACUCGCUUUUGAAUGCGAAACAAGAAGAUCCUUCCAUCCUGAGGCCAUGGAGAGAUGAGGCGUUCUACUAAAAUAAGACAUUACCAUGUCAGAAUAAUACUUAUUCUAAUAUUUUCCAUGUUAACAGAAGAAGAAGAAGAAGAAGAAGAAGAUGGUCCAUCCAUCCACGUCGAGGUCAGUCCUGAGGGGUAUGCAUCAAAUGCAGCCAUCUUUCCGACCGGAAAAACUCUUGAGGGUCAGAGUCCGAUGUGUACACCCAGUAUUAUAGACUGAAGAAGAAGGAGAGGCCGAUGAUGUGAUGUAUCCAGUUUUCCAGCGAGAAAAAGCUUUUGAGGGUCAGGGUCCGAUGUGUACACCCAUCAAGGAAUGGGCUGCUGCCCUUAAGGGUUUGCACAACCGCCAAAAUGCUGUGAAGCUGGACUACAUAAUUUUUUCCCAACGUCGAGGUUUCAACUAGAAAUGGGCACACUACUCUUGGAGGUGAUGGCAGAUGUACCCAUCUGGAACCUCUUAGGGAACUCGGGCGUUAAUUUUCCGAAAUUUUAUGAAGAAACAUCGUGAAAUGAAGAAGAUUUGGAAGAUGUCACACUCAAGUAAAAAGAAAGCGAUUGACAAAUAUUGAAGUAAGAGAUCUUUAUGUUUUGUGUUUUGUGUCGUUUUGGGUUUGUGUUUCAUAUGUUUGUGAACAGUUCGUA